UACGUAGGGUGCGAGCGUUAAUCGGAAUUACUGGGCGUAAAGCGUGCGCAGGCGGUUUGCUAAGUCCGAUGUGAAAUCCCCGGGCUUAACCUGGGAACUGCAUUGGUGACUGGCAGGCUAGAGUAUGGCAGAGGGGGGUAGAAUUCCACGUGUAGCAGUGAAAUGCGUAGAGAUGUGGAGGAAUACCGAUGGCGAAGGCAGCCCCCUGGGCCAAUACUGACGCUCAUGCACGAAAGCGUGGGGAGCAAACAGG
rnacentral:rRNA from 1 species